rnacentral:rRNA from 1 species
AGAGUUUGAUCCUGGCUCAGAUUGAACGCUGGCGGCAUGCCUUACACAUGCAAGUCGAACGGCAGCACGGGAGCAAUCCUGGUGGCGAGUGGCGAACGGGUGAGUAAUAUAUCGGAACGUGCCCAGUCGUGGGGGAUAACGUAGAGAAAUUUACGCUAAUACCGCAUACGAUCUAAGGAUGAAAGCGGGGGACCGUAAGGCCUCGCGCGAUUGGAGCGGCUGAUAUCAGAUUAGGUUGUUGGUGAGGUAAAAGCUCACCAAGCCGACGAUCUGUAGCUGGUUUGAGAGAACGACCAGCCACACUGGGACUGAGACACGGCCCAGACUCCUACGGGAGGCAGCAGUGGGGAAUUUUGGACAAUGGGCGAAAGCCCGAUCCAGCAAUGCCGCGUGCAGGAAGAAGGCCUUCGGGUUGUAAACUGCUUUUGUACGGAAUGAAAAG